GGUCCCUGGAAACCAGCUUUUAAGACAGAACUUAGAGGGGUCAAAAGACAUUUCCAGCUGAAAACGGUUUUGAAAUCUAAGAACCCUGCAUAAUCCAGAUCACGGCUGUCAAAGCUCAGUGGGGAUUCCAGUAUGGAAGCAGACACAGUUUACCUCCCUACUUCUUUUCCCUGAGCACCUACUGUGUGCCCUUGCCAGUGCUCUUAACAACUGAGCCUCUACCGCCUUUGCCUGUGAUCGCUUUCUUAGAAAGCCUCUUCUGUCCUUCCCAAGUCUAAUCCUCCUGUACUUCCUCCAGGCCUUCCUAGCCCCAUCUUCUAACCUGCUAGGGUUUUCUCACGUGGGUUCUUCUUUGAGGGCUCUCUGGCUUCCCUACUGAGCUGUAGCUGCCAAAGUUGAAGGGCUGCGUCUCCCUUGCGUCUCCCCAGUCUUUACAGCUCCUGAAACACACUAAGGUUCUGAGUUCUCUGUUGCUGUGGGACCCGAAAAAAAGCCAGCCAGUAACUAUGAGCUUCUAUUUCCUCACUUAAAAACCAUAGAAAACCAUCCGAGAAGAGGACGAGUGAAGUGCCUGGCAAGAGGCACAGAGUUGAGCACGUCCGGUCAUCAAACUGAGAUCCUGAGGACCGAACUGGAGGGAGCGCUUUGUUUCGAGUCUUUCCAAUGAUCUAAGAAACCAUAAGCAUUAUUUCCAAAGCCUACGCUGACGGCUCUAGUUUAAAAUGCAUAAUCAAGCUACAGUGCUGUGUUGAAGUCACUGCGGGAAGGGAUGCCUAUCCUGACUAUGCCACACAGUCUGCACCGUGCGUGACAGGUAGUCUAGCUUCCUUGAAGUGCACUGAGACUUGUAAUGCAGCCUGCUCUGGCACACAGUCCUGCAGCUUGCAGAUGAAGUGCCCAGCUGUGCGGCUGUAAGGCUGAGCUCAGAGGUCAGUUGAACUCUCAGGAGCUCUCAUGUGACUACUGCCCUUUUCGAUGUACUAUCUGCAAGAGCGCAUCUGCUUGCCCUCUGUCUGUUACUGGGGAAGGCUGCUGGCCUCUUCCCUGGGCAUCCUGAUUGUGCUAACUUCCUUCUGUACUGUCAAGAUAAGGAACAUGUCUUGAUUUAUCAAGGGUCUCUGUCACCGUCACUUGGAUCUUAUUAAUGACAUUUAUCAACAUGGUGGGUGUAUGAUCUUUUAAUCUCAUGACUUGUAAAAUACUUUUAAAAAAUAUCAAAUGAGUCUUUCUUUGCUGGA